rfam:Oryza brachyantha chromosome 6, whole genome shotgun sequence.
UUUAUUUUUUCGUGUCUAACGUUUGACCAUUCGUUUUAUUUAAAUUUUUUUACGAUUAAUUUUUUUACUAUUACUAGAUAAUAAAAUAUAAAUAGUAUUUUAUACGUGACUAAUUUUUUAAGUUUUUAUACAAAUUUUUUAAAUAAGACGAAUGAUCAAAUAUUAGACAUAGAAAAAUAAAAAAUGAGCUUAUU